rnacentral:rRNA from 1 species
GGAAUUUUCCGCAAUGGGCGAAAGCCUGACGGAGCAAUACCGCGUGAGGGAUGACUGCCUAUGGGUUGUAAACCUCUUUUUUCAGGGAGGAAUAAAUGACGUGUACCUGAAGAAUAAGCAUCGGCUAACUCCGUGCCAGCAGCCGCGGUAAGACGGAGGAUGCAAGUGUUAUCCGGAAUCACUGGGCGUAAAGCGUCUGUAGGUGGUCUAGUAAGUCAACUGUUAAAUCUCGAGGCUCAACUUCGAAAUCGCAGUCGAAACUAUUAGACUAGAGUAUAGUAGGGGUAAAGGGAAUUUCCAGUGGAGCGGUGAAAUGCGUAGAGAUUGGAAAGAACACCGAUGGCGAAGGCACUUUACUGGGCUAUUACUAACACUCAGAGACGAAAGCUAGGGGAGCAAAUGGGAUUAGAUACCCCAGUAGUC